rnacentral:rRNA from 1 species
UACGUAGGGUGCAAGCGUUGUCCGGAAUUAUUGGGCGUAAAGAGCUCGUAGGCGGUCUGUCGCGUCUGCUGUGAAAUCCCGAGGCUCAACCUCGGGUCUGCAGUGGGUACGGGCAGACUGGAGUGCGGUAGGGGAGAAUGGAAUUCCUGGUGUAGCGGUGGAAUGCGCAGAUAUCAGGAGGAACACCGAUGGCGAAGGCAGUUCUCUGGGCCGUAACUGACGCUGAGGAGCGAAAGCGUGGGGAGCGAACAGG